rnacentral:sRNA from 1 species
GCCUUCAGAUGAAGAUGUAGAACCCUGAGCUCCUCAUGCACCAUUCCUGUCUGGACACUGCCAUUGCCUUGAUGUUAAUGGACUGAACCUCUGAACAUAGCUGUGGGGACUCCCCUCUACCCUCUUGGCUCCUGAGGGUGCAGCUCCUAAUCAGCCGAAAGGAACAACAAGCACAAAUGGAAACACUGCACUUGGGAGUCCCUGGAACUGCGAAGAACUUCUCCAGGCUGUGGGAAAUAGGAAUGACAGAAGACCUGGCCUGCUUCUCAUCAUUACUUCCUCAUAGCUGACCUCUGUUCAUGACAAAGGUCAAUAACAGACUAACUCAGAAAUCCCUUCCUUUGGAGCAUUGUCUACUCUUCGGGAACACUACAUACACCUUGGGAAGAUGCUACGCUAUGGGAGCACUACCUACCUACUGGGAGCACUAUCUUUUCAGAAUACUGGCCAAACCAUGGGAACAUUAUCUAUCCUUCAGGAGAGGGGGUCGUUUACUGAACUUGGAGCUCAUCACUUCAGCUAGAAUUGCAGCUAAGCAGGCGUUGGGAACCCUCUUGCCUCUGCUUUGCCAACACUGAGACUAAAGGUACCUGUCACUACAUCUGGCUUUUACAUGGGAGCUGAGGAUUUGAACUCAGCUACUUAUGCUUGCACGGCAAGGACUUCCCCAACUGAGCCAUCUUUCCAGCACCUUGAAGUAGAGAACACUUCAAAGUUUUACAGCCUAAUUGUUUUACAGCCAAUGAAACUAAUUUACAGAUUAUGCAGCUGGCCAAUCACACAGCAGUAGAAGCGGUAAGUCAUGAUUGGAGGUCACAUCACAUAUCUUACAUGAGAGCCCGUGUUAUCAGCCUCUAUGCAUUUUCCCAGAAAUACACACAUCCUACUCACUCUGGGUAACUUCAGUGUGUGUGGUAGGUAGUUUUGUUUUCUUGUACAUCAUGUUGCUGUCAUUCAUAAGGAUGUUUGUGUUUAUUAAAUAUUACAUGUUUCUUCUUCAUAUCCAGGAGGCAAGCUGGGCCUUGUGGAGUAAUAUUUUCUGCAUCCAUACUUCGGGGAUUAAAUCCUGGAUUUGGUCCACUUUUUUCUAUGCCCUGCAUAAUGAAGAAUGCAGCUCAGAACCAUUGUGGCGGUUUGUUCAGGGAUGAGGGUUUUCCCAGGACUUGGCUAUUUUAACAUUAAGGCUGGGACAGAUCCUGACGUGGCUGUAGUGGUUGGCAGUUGUCAUGUUUUUAAAGCAGUCUAAAUUUUAUAAUGAGAAGGCCAGACAUUCUAGAACCACAUUUUAAAGAAUUCACUAAAAAUUAAAAACAUGUUUAGAAAAGAUACACAAACGGUGAAUAAAGAGUUAAAUAUAUCUUUCUUCAUAUCUUAUGAGCCUGGGAUCUGUUUACUCUCAUAGCAUCAUACAACACAAUUUACGAUUUAGGACCAUCUGAAGCGCCGAGGUCAUGCGACAAGACAGGGAAUAGGAACUGGAAGACGGUUUGUUCCACGCCAGUCAGCGUGGCGUGUGGAGAUGUCAUGUGACAAAGGAUGCAGUCUGUCACAACAAAGCCCAGAACCACAUCUCCUCUAACUCUAGUCCUAAGCAUGUGACACUUGUCUCAGCACAUGUGGUGUUUAUUUCACUGUGUUGUAACCACUUGUUUGUUGUUUGUGUCCCUUGCUAGAUAGAAAGAUCAUCGAGGACAGCAUGUAGCUGUCCCGGGAUUUACAACUGUCCCUGUUCAGUGGUCCUAGCACAGAGACUGUUGAAAACAUCUUGGGCUACAAAUUGUGUCUGGGCUUUCUGGAUGCAGAACAAAAUGUGACUUUAGAAGCCAUGUCUGAAAACAUCAGUCCUGAAGCCUUCCAGCUCGCAAAUGUCUGGCUCCUGGAAGGCCUGGCUUCUCCCAUUUUUCUGAUACGAACCACACUCUAAGUGAGAAGUAUGGGCUUAGCUUCUGGAGAAAGUCUCCCAGUGCCUGGAGACAGCGGCUGAGAGAAAAGAAGAAACGGCAAGUUGCAGAAAGCAUGGCUUGGGGCUUCUUUAUCAUUGGGGGAGAAGAUACCCACUUACAAGUGGUAUUAAAGCCUGUGGUUAGAUUUCACCAGUAUAAAUUAUUCACGGAGAACUGCCAAGGGUUUUCCCUCCCUGCAUUCUGCACUCCCCUACCUUGCUAGUCUAGUGGGUUUUUUGAAGACCAGCGCCCUCUGGCGGUUGAAGUGAGAAAAACCCCUCUAGGAAGAAAAUAAAAAGGAGGAAGGGUUUUUGCCCUUGCCUGCUCUUACCUAAUGAGGGGCUUCGGAGAGAAAUACUUUCUAUUGCUACCCUGAAUGUGAAGUGUCAUGUGACCAUGGGGCUAGUGGUAUUUGAGGCUGCUUAACCGUCUUAGGCUAAUGUGGCCUUGGCAGUAACGCCCCCAGUGGUAGAACAUCCGGUGGAAGAGGUUUCCAGGGCAUCUGGAGAACCACGUUCACUUUUUGUGUUUUCUGUAGGGAGGUACGAGAUAGAACAAGACUCAAGACUAAGCUGGGUGUGGACCUGAAACAUCUAGUACUUGGGGGGCUGAGGCAGGUGGAUCAAUGGGAGUUAGAGGCCAGCCUGGGCUGCAUAGUAAAUUCUGGGACAGUCUAGGCUUCAGAGUGAGAUGAUGUCUCAAAAUGAACGAUUUAAGGCUUGUCAAAAAGAGACAGUGGGCAAUGGUGGUGCACACCUUUAAUCCCAGCACUUGGGAGGUAGAAGGAGGAUCUCUUGUCAG